GACAAGAAUAUAAAUGACACAAUGUAGAAUUUUGACUGCAAGGUGAUUAUGAAAGUAUAUUAUAAAAACAUGGGAAACAAAACAAAUCAUCUUUUCCAAAGUAAUUACUAAAAAUAAGACAUGAACCGGGAGAGAAAGAUGGGGGAUAAAUUUGGAAAUCACCCUAGCAUUAGCAUGAUAAGCAAUGCUUCUCUCUGCAAAUAAAAAUGCAAACUCAGUUACAGAAUACUGAAUUAACUCGAGAUAACAUUAAAUGCAUGAUCCAUGCUGUGUCUGUAGUCUUCAGUCAUGAAGACUUUAUCCUGGUGAUUUAGUUUGCCUUGAGUGAUUACCGGUUGUAGUAAAUGUUGUCUUUCCAGCAGCUCGUCCUCAAUAUUUUCUGAGAACAGCAUCCCAUAUCCUUUUGGGGCACUUCUCCUUCCACAAUAUUUUAAGAUUCUGCUUUACUGUCAGUUUCAGCACUCUACCUCCUGGCCACAAAUAAGACCAAUCAGAAUCCUUUCCUGAGAUUUUAUUCAAAGAUGUUAGGGGUCUCAUCCUUCUUUGUGAUGGCUAAGCUGCUGGCUCCCUUCUUCCCACCUGCCCACCCCCCCUCCCCCAUGUUGAAUGGAGGGAAACAUUCAACAUGCAGUAGGAGAGAAUGAGGUCAGCACUCAAGAGAGAAACAUGACUAAGAUAUUGAUUAAUUUUGCCAUGCUGGUAUUAGUCUAGCGCCAUUGAUCUCUUUCACGGUUACGUGAACUAAUCAAUCUCCCUCAGAUUGCUGAAUCUUCCAGUGGAACUGCUGACCAGUUGUGCUUAAUGCAGUCCCUCAACACCAGCUGGCUACACUAUGUUUCCUGGGAUGCUAAAUUGUUCACAUCCCUUCCUUCUUCAAAAAAAUCACCAGGGCCCCUGGUGGCAAGAGCACAGACUUUGCUAGUCAAGAGUCUGAGGUGGUCAUGCUUCUACUAAUGAGUGGGUCUCAUCACCUCUAGAUCUCCUGAUCUAAAUACCCAGUUCUCUGGGUUAUUGAGAUACUGAAACAUGACAAUGUAAACGAUAUAAAUGUGAAGCACUGUAGUGGGCCGGACACCGUAGCACUCGCUGAGAAUGUCCAGCCUCCUGCAUGUGGCUGCCCAGGCCGUCACACAUGUAGGUGACCUGCUGUGCCAUCCUCACUGUCCACUGCUCUCCUAACUAAACUGUUGUAUCCAGGCCAGCUUACUUGUCAUUCUUCAGCAAGCCGUAUGUUUCCCCUCCAUUGGGCUUGCUUCCUGCCCUUUAUUCAUCUAUCGAAAUUUAGCCCACUAAAUUUAGUGAUUUUAAAAUCGCUAAAAUCAACCCCAUCUCUUCUAUGACUUUUUUUUUGACUGACUGGUCUAAAGUGAUCCCUUCCUUCUCCCAAUCCCUGGACCGCUCUACUGCCUGUAUCUUUAAUCUGGUAAUUAGCCCUAUAAUGUCUAGGUCUUUUCUGUUUUUCACUCAAACUGUUACACAUUUCACAUUAUUUUUUAUUAUCGAACUCUUUUAUCCUAUUUUAAUCUAAUUGUAUGUUUCGGGUGAGCAAGCACACUUAUUUUUUUGGUCUCUCAGGGGGCUUACUACCUAACGGUUACACAGUAAGAACAUUGGAGUUAGUCAUUCUUUAUAGGUCUGUUUAUUCUCAAUCUCCAUGGAAACCAUGAACUAUGUGAAAAUGUAGAUAUUUUGAACUGUUCUCUUUAUGACACAUAUAAUCUUACUCUAAUAGGCACCCUUGCAUGAGGAAAGGAGUCAGUCUUACAUUAUGCAGGAAAUAUCAAUCAAGUAGGACGACAAGAACUAUAGAAAUUGCUUGGACCUACAAAGGUGAUUUUUAUUCUGAUUUUAACAUUUCCUUCAGAUGCUAUCUGUGAAAAACUGAAAUCCAGAGAUGAAAUGAAGUCUUCAGAGGAAUGGGGCUAUCCUUCCUCUUGAUUUGGAAGUACUGCUUCCUCAAGAAGCAUAUGAUUGCAAUAAUAUUUUAAUAGCCAGGUCAUCCUCACAGCCUUUCGUCAACUCAGUAGCCUUCAGUGAGUCUGUUAGCCCAUCCUGUCCAAGGGCCCUCCAGCUUCACAGUAGGGUCACACCUGCCUCCUGUUUAUGGUAAUUAUGGAUAAUAUGAUGUUAAAUUAAAUUUACAGGCAAUGUUGUACUUGAAAUUCAAGGUGACCCAGUUGUUGUGCAGAUGUAGUUUUAAGAAAGACAAAAGAACCAUUGACAAGAAAGUAAUCUGUAUCAAAAGCAUAUUAAACAGCUUCUGGAAAAAAAAAAAAAGAAAGACAUGUUUCCUAGGAUUUUGCAUUCUGUGACCCUUACUACUUUUGUUUUAGCAAUAAAACAUUUAGCCUGACUAUUCUAUAAAUAGAUUUUCAAUUUAUAUUGCCAGGUAAUACACAAUUUGAUGAGAGUGAAGAUGCUUUUCCUGAGAGGCUAGUUAAUUGGUUUAUAUAUUAUUGUCUUGUAUGUGUCUCAGUUUUUCCCUUGGCUUCCAAGCCUUUGAGGCGAACGUUACUUUCUCCAACAGAAUAUUCUCUUGGCUGACUUCAGCAAAGGAGUGACCAAGUCUGCUCUACAUUCAUUGGCAGUGAUGUUGCAGUAAUCGGAAUAAAAUAAGGUCUUUGGGAGAAUCUGGCUCAGACAAUAGGAGUUACAAAGUAAAAACACACAGAUCCUUACUGUUAGCCCUCUUUCUACAUGCUUGGAGCUGAACACCGUUUGACAAUCACAUGCCAGUGCAUUUUAUAAAACUGAGCAAUUUCCCUGCCUGCUUUAGAUAAGACCCCUCCCCCCUUUGUAUUAUAUCAGUGACAUCCAAAAGCUUUUAGAAGCUACUUGGCAUCCUUCACAGGUAGUCUUAAAGCAGUUACUGAACUUCGUAACAACAUUGAAGCUCUUGGAUGUGGUGGUAAACUGUGUUCGGCUCUGGGGAUUUAAAAAAAAACAUUACAGAUGCAGUUAUCAGCUCUCCUGUGAUCAAUCUUGUUAAAAUUCUGCUUCUUGUGUCCUGUUGAUACAUUAUGCAAACAACAGACAUAGAAUCCAAGUUGUUGGCUGCACUUUUUUUUUAUCAUAAAACUAAGAAAAAUGUGAUUCUCUAACAAAAACUGUGGGUACUCUCUGAAAAUGAUAAUUAUAUUUUCAAGAUCCUAUUGCUUCUCCGAUGUUGAUGGACCUGAUAUUUGAUUUUCCCCUCUCAGUGGGACCGUAGGUGUGUUUCGUCUGUUCAAGUAUGAACCUUUUUUAAGAGAGGAAGAAAGAAUAUUACUGUACCCUUGGCCACUUCUAAAACAUGAUUGGUAUCUGCAUAACGCCGUUAGCCAAAAAAAAAAUGUGCCAUUGGUGCCAGACAAAUCUAAAUAAGAUUUUGAUGCAGGAUCAAUGGAAAUAUAACACGUAUAAGGAUGAACAACUUGUCCUGUAAGAUAAGUAUAAGCUCGUCUAUACUUUUUGUGGUUCUCUUCUGUGGUUUUCAUUUUUGUUCCUUUGCUCUUCUCAGUCAAGUUUUAUCUAAUCUUCCAAGUACUGUAUUUCUUCCCUGCUCAAAAGUGUGAACCUCUAGAGACUAGGUCUGUCUUACUAUCCCCAUCAUAUACCACGGGAUACAGUUGGGUGUAUUUGGUAAGGUAGGCAAAUGUAUGGGUGGGUGAGUAGAUGGGUAGGUAAAUGUAUGGAUGGAAGGGUAGACCAGGGCACCUCUUCCCUACCACCAUAAUUGCUGGAAUCCUAGAGACCUAAUGGUUGGUCUGUAAUCUCUGACAAUCUUGAAGUUUCAGGGUGGUCUCAAAGAACUUUAUUGCCUCUUGGAGUAUGCUUUGAAACUACAAGGCUUGGAGGAAGAAUCUGGAGUAUCUUAAAAGGAAUUAUAAAAGACUUAGGCCAGCUCUGUUAAUUUUGCAUCAAUAGAAAGUCUUUGAUUUUUCCCAAAUGAAGUUAUAAUUUAGAAAUGGGGUGUGAUUUUAUGACAGCGGUAAUGAUUUCUGCAGAGACAACAGAUGUCCCUGUGGCUAUGAUUUAUAUGAUUUUCUUUUAAUAAAUAAGACGAAUCUCUUUUGUUUAACAAAGGUGCUAAUUAUAAAUAUUGCUUUAGCACUAAUUUUGCAUGUAAAUUCAUAGAGUGAGACAAAAAAAUAGAAGUCUUGUUUAUGUAAUUUGAAUUUUGGUUUACUCCACAGUUGAAUAAUUCAGUUGCUUGUGAGUAUUUUGUUUGUUUGUUUGUUUGUUUGUUUUCAAUGACUUUAUAUUGGUUUUUAUGUAAAUUUUGAGGGACUCUUGGUGGGCUUGGGGGUACUUCUGUUAGGGAUUUUAUGUAUGCUUUAACAGUUUGUUCCAGCAAUCGAGUAAACUUUAGUUCAACUUGGGACAUUUGAGUUGUCAAUUUGGAAAUCCUUUGCCAAGCCAUCACAGGAGUAUUGGCAAAGAUAAACUUUAAAAUAAAUUUCCUUAUAUUUUGUCUAGACUUCUAAGUACUAACUACAUCUGCUUUGCAGAGAAUCAGAUUAGGCCAGGAGAGUCUUAUGUCUUCAUUAUGCCAUUAUUUGUAGUACAUAGUGUUUGGAUAAAAUAUAAUUUUUCUGAUAUCUCUAAGCAAGUUAUAAAUAAACAAAACUUCUUAAGAAUGAUGGCAAUUUCGUUACCUUCACAUGAGAGCCUCCCAUGUGCUCUCAUCAAAAUAGCCAUUGCUAUAGUCAGCCAUAAAUUGCUGGGUAUUAAUUACAUACAUACUACAUAUUGAAUUGGCUACCAAAGUAUGAUUGACUUGAAUUUCUAGAUACUGAUUAAACAGUUAAAAUAGAUUAUUGGAAAAUAUUUCUAAGAUACAGAAUAGUUUAAGGAUUAUGUUAGAUAAUUUAAUCCCUUGAUAAAAGGUGUAUAAUAUUAAUAAUGUAUGAAAAGGCCUCAAAUAAAAAUGUUUCCAUUGCUGCCAGAAAGCGGGGGUAAAUGCUAGGUUUAUUUUAGUUUGUUAGCACACUAGGAUGUCCCCCUGAAUUGCAAAUAUAUUGAAGGCUACAACAACUCUGGUGAUACGGAGGUAAACAUAAGUGAAGUGUUUUAAGCGACUAAUUUGUUUUAAAGUAUACUUUAGCUUCUCAUAUUAAAUGCCAUUAUCGUCCCUAAGUUCACAAUGGCUGCCAAGAUUCCCGGGUCAAGUUGUGCUAAAAUCUUUUAAACAUCUUCUAGAGUGUAUUCUGUUUUCUACCUGACAGGUAGAAACCUAAUGAAAAGUAGAGUGGAGGCAUUAGACAUCACAUAGAUGAUUUCCAGGUAUUACCUUUUAGUUCAGAGGUUAGUUUUUGGUGUCCCAAGAGAGGGCAACUUAAUCUGUAUGGAUUUUAAAAAUGGAUUAUUACUCCGUACAUUUCAUUCACAUAAGUAUUUAUUAAAUUUCUCUUAUUGGACAUCAUCAUAAAAUAUUGUAUGAACUUUUUCUUUAGUUGGGGUGAUAGUUCCAAGUUCAGUGUAUUUUAAAUAGUAAAAAAGGAGAAAGGAGAAGGUUAAGGAUAAAAUAUUUCCUUGAAACUUAAUAAAUGUGUACUUUAAAAACAAAUUUAUGGGACACUUGGGUGGCUCAGUCAGUUAAGCAUCUAACUCGUGGAUUUUAGAUCCAUCAGAUCAUUCAUGAUGUCUCGGUACAUGAGUUGGAGCCCCACAUGAGUUGGAGCUCUUUGCUGGCAGGGUGGAGCCUGUUGGGACUGUCUCUCUCUCUCCCUCUCUGUGCCCCUCCCAGCCCAUUCUUUCUCUCUCUCUUUCAAAGUAAAUAAACAAACUUUAAAAAAAAUUAAAAAAUAAUUUUAUUACUUUCUUUAAGGUGAUUGAGAAGUAUGCAUUUAGUACUUGGAAAGAGUACUUUAUUUGUAAUUGAAAAAGUAAUGUGUUUUAUAUCCAAGAUAAAAGUUGGAUAAUAUUGUGUUUGUAUUUCUCUUUUUCUUGGGUAGGUGGAUCAAUGUCAUUUUAGAUAUUAGAAUUUCAGUAACCUAAAAGUAGACCAUUUUCUGGCAAAUAAAAAGUUGUUUUAAGACAUUUAGGGGCACCUGGGUGGUUCAGUCGAUUAAGCUUCGACUCUUAAUUUUGACUCCAGUCUUGGUGUCACGGAUCAUGGUAUUGAGCCCAUUGUUGGGCUCUGUGCUGGCAGUGGGGGGCCUGCUUGGAAUUCUCUUCCUCCCUCUCUCUCUCUCUGCCCCUCCCCUGCUCUUGUGCUCGUGCAAUCUCAAUCAAUCUCUCUCUCUCUCU